GACGAACGCUGGCGGCGUGCUUAACACAUGCAAGUCGAACGAUGAAGCUAGAGCUUGCUCUGGUGAAUUAGUGGCGAACGGGUGAGUAACACGUGAGUAACCUGCCCCGAACUCUGGGAUAACUGCUGGAAACGGUAGCUAAUACUGGAUACGACCUACGAAGGCAUCGUCGGUAGGUGGAAAGAAUUGCGGUUCGGGAUGGACUCGCGGCCUAUCAGCUUGUUGGUGAGGUAAUGGCUCACCAAGGCGACGACGGGUAGCCGGCCUGAGAGGGUGACCGGCCACACUGGGACUGAGACACGGCCCAGACUCCUACGGGAGGCAGCAGUGGGGAAUAUUGCACAAUGGGCGCAAGCCUGAUGCAGCAACGCCGCGUGAGGGAUGACGGCCUUCGGGUUGUAAACCUCUUUUAGUAGGGAAGAAGCGAAAGUGACGGUACCUGCAGAAAAAGCACCGGCUAACUACGUGCCAGCCGCCGCGGUAA
rnacentral:rRNA from 1 species